GGAAGGCACUCGAUAAGGAGGUAUUUGUGCUAAAACCUGAAUGAUGAGGACUCCACCACGUCAAGAUUUGGAGGAAAGGGAUUCCAUACAGAGAAACAGCAAGUGCAAAGUCCUUGAGAUGAGAAAGAGCACGAGACCUCUCCUGACGGAGCAAUAUCCUGGUCCCUAGGAAGCAUUCCCUGUGAUUUUGGUUGAAAAACUGUCCUUAGAAAAAGAUCUGAAAAUAUGACAAAGGGAUUGCUGUGUCCUGUCCAUUCUGUGGAGUCUUGAGCCAUGUUCUAGCUGGCCCAGUCUGCAAUUGUCAGCCUCUCUAGGGAUGCCAUACUUGAAUCUCCUUGAGUGCCCUAAUAAUUUUUCUAUUAUAGUUGCCACCUAUCUCUUUUGGCACCUAUCUC